UCUUGCCUGUAAGGUACAAGACUGAAAUUGGGAAAUCUGAUUCUGCCAUAGACUAUAUGGCCUUGAAGAAACCACUUUUAGGCCCAGAUCCUCAAAGCUCUUAGAUUUCCAAUGGAGUCUGAGGCACCACUUCCUCAUAUUGCCGUGGCCACUAUCUACUACUCUGAGAUCCGUAUGUGGGGAAAAACAACGCUACUACUAGAAUAGCAUCUACUCUAGUCCCAUGACUCCUGGCUCUCCAUGGAAAGCACAACCUUUCCCCGCAGACCUUGGAGGUCCAAGAGAUAUGCUUAUGGCCUCCUGAUUCAUUAGGCUGCAAGGGGUGCUCCACCAUUGAAGAUGGCUUCCUGAAGAUGUAAGCAAGCAAGCAGUCAAUUCAUCUUGAAAUCUUGCCAAGACAUAUUAUUUUCACCCAUCCACAAGUAAAAAACAAAUAAAAUGAUUUUUCCUCCA